rnacentral:lncRNA from 1 species
CUUGUGGGUGGAAGCAGGCCUGUCCCUGCGCAUGAGUGACCGGCCCGGCACCUCCCUGCCAUGGUGCCACAAGCAUCUCCUGGCGUCUCCUGUGUCUCCUGCCCGUGGAGCUCUCUGGGAUCUCCACCCUUCCCCCAGCUCUUGCAGGUACCUGGCAUGAGUUUUGCGCCGCUCAACCACAUGAAGAUUUCAGUCAGUGACUCGAAGGAUCAGAAAGGCUGGCUUCCACUGAUUUACAUCAAUGGUUGUUCGUUUGGUGCUCGUGCUUUGCAGCAAGUUCUAUUCAGAUGGAAAUUGGAAUUCAAAGAGCUUGCAGAAAAGCGGUUAUUUAGAAUUCUUUUAAUUAGUUGA